rnacentral:rRNA from 1 species
UGGGGGAAUUUUGGACAAUGGGCGAAAGCCUGAUCCAGCAAUGCCGCGUGUGUGAAGAAGGCCUUCGGGUUGUAAAGCACUUUCAGCGAGGAGGAAGGUGGUGAACUUAAUACGUUCAUCAAUUGACGUUACUCGCAGAAGAAGCACCGGCUAACUCCGUGCCAGCAGCCGCGGUAAUACGGAGGGUGCAAGCGUUAAUCGGAAUUACUGGGCGUAAAGCGCACGCAGGCGGUUUGUUAAGUCAGAUGUGAAAUCCCCGGGCUCAACCUGGGAACUGCAUUGGUGACUGGCAGGCUAGAGUAUGGCAGAGGGGGGUAGAAUUCCACGUGUAGCAGUGAAAUGCGUAGAGAUGUGGAGGAAUACCGAUGGCGAAGGCAGCCCCCUGGGCCAAUACUGACGCUCAUGCACGAAAGCGUGGGGAGCAAAACAGGAUUAGAUACCCCUGGUAGUCCACGCCCUAAACGAUGUCAACUAGUUGUUUGGGGGAUUCAUUUUCCUUAGUAACGUAGCUAACGCGUGAAGUUGACCGCCUGGGGAGUACGGUCGCAAGAUUAAAACUCAAAUGAUUGACGGGGGUCAUAGCUGUUUCCUG